AUCCGGUCGCGAGACUGGUCGAUAUUUGAACAGCCCUUGGUUCGGACUCUCAGAUAUCUCCUCAUCAGGCUAAUCACGGUUAUUUGACCCGGCUCUUGCCGGGUCUUUUUUU
rnacentral:sRNA from 1 species